rnacentral:rRNA from 1 species
GAGAGAUAUCGUAUUUGUCUGGAAGUAAGAGUUAUAACAGUUCUUAUGCAGAACCAAGCAGAGAAUGACUUUGUAUAAAUUACUGUAAAGUUACAGAUGUUAUAACAAUGUCUAGAAAACUAUGUGCCAGCAUCUGCGGUCAGACAUAGAGAUUGCUAUACUUUCUACUAAGAGUUAACACACUCAGAAGUUAAAACAAAGAUUUAUAUUACUUAGUUAAAUAUUAAUUUAUCAUUGAUUUUCUAUUAAAAAUGUUACUAAGUCUCUAGUUAAACCAGGAGUAGUACCCUGUUAUUUAAGAAAUAAAAGCUUUUAGAAUAGUACCUUUAACAGGGAAAAUAGAAUCUACGUGGCAGUUAGGAACUCAGCUUAGAGGAACGUGCUUAGUAAAUGAUAAUACACAAGGAAUCCUACUUAGACUAGCUAAGCCACCUUGCCCACCGCCGUCCAUGAUCACUCCUAAGAGUGAACACUCUUAAAAUAAGUAAUUUAUAAAGUCAGGUAAUGGUGUAGGUAAUGUUUAAGUUAAAGUGCGUUACACUUCAUUUAGAAUUAGAUUAGCUUUUGAAAUAAAGUUUUGAAUUAGAAUUUAAAAGUAAUUAAGGUUUAUAAAACUUUUAUGAAAUUGAGCCUCCUUUUGUACAGAUUGCCCGUCAGCACUGGAUAAACCUAGUGUAAGUCGUAACAAAGUAACUCUAUUAGAAACUGGAGUUGUAUACAC